UACGUAGGGCGCAAGCGUUUAUCCGGAAUUAUUGGGCGUAAAGAGCGUGUAGGCGGUUUGGUAGGUCCGCUGUGAAAACUCGAGGCUCAACCUCGAGACGCCGGUGGAAACCAUCAGACUAGAGUCCGGAAGAGGAGAGUGGAAUUCCUGGUGUAGCGGUGAAAUGCGCAGAUAUCAGGAAGAACACCCGUGGCUAAGGCGGCUCUCUAGUACGGUACUGGACGCUGAAGACGCGAAAGCGUGGGGAGCGAACAGG
rnacentral:rRNA from 1 species